UGCUGCCAGGGAUGUUUUCAUUAAUCAAGAACGAAAGUUAGAGGUUCGAAGGCGAUCAGAUACCGCCCUAGUUCUAACCAUAAACGAUGCCAUCUAGCGAUCCGCCGGCGUUAUUCCCAUGACCCGGCGGGCAGCUUCCGGGAAACCAAAGUCUUUGGGUUCCGGGGGAAGUAUGGUUGCAAAGCUGAAACUUAAAGGAAUUGACGGAAGGGCACCACCAGGAGUGGAGCCUGCGGCUUAAUUUGAC